rnacentral:rRNA from 1 species
UUGAAACUCAAAGGAAUUGACGGGGGCCCGCACAAGCGGUGGAGUAUGUGGUUUAAUUCGAAGCAACGCGAAGAACCUUACCAGGGCUUGACAUCCCAAGGCCAGAACUAGAGAUAGUUCUUUCUCUUCGGAGACCUUGGUGACAGGUGGUGCAUGGUUGUCGUCAGCUCGUGUCGUGAGAUGUUGGGUUAAGUCCCGCAACGAGCGCAACCCCUAUUGUUAGUUGCUACGCGAGAGCACUCUAGCGAGACUGCCGUUGACAAAACGGAGGAAGGUGGGGACGACGUCAAAUCAUCAUGCCCCUUAUGGCCAGGGCUACACACGUGCUACAAUGGCGUAAACAAAGGGAAGCGAAGCCGUGAGGUGGAGCAAAUCCCAAAAAUAACGUCCCAGUUCGGAUUGUAGUCUGCAACUCGACUACAUGAAGCUGGAAUCGCUAGUAAUCGCAGAUCAGAACGCUGCGGUGAAUACGUUCCCGGGUCUUGUACACACCGCCCGUCACACCAUGGGAGUUGGAAAUGCCC